rnacentral:rRNA from 1 species
CCUACGGGUGGCAGCAGUGAGGAAUAUUGGUCAAUGGACGAGAGUCUGAACCAGCCAAGCAGCGUGAAGGAUGACUGCCCUAUGGGUGGUAAACUUCUUUUAUAUGGGAAUAAAUCAGGGUAUGCAUACCCUCAGGUCUGUACCAUAUGAAUAAGGAACGGCCAACUCCGUGCCAGCAGCCGCGGUAAUACGGAGGAACCGAGCGUUAUCCGGAGUUAGUGUGUGUAAAGGGAGAGUAGGAGUAUUGUUAAGUCAGUUGGGAAGGCUUGCGGCUCAACCGUAAGAUUGCAGUUGAAACUGGCAGGCUUGAGUACAGGAGAGGUAGGCGGAAUUCGUGGUGUAGCGGUGAAAUGCUUAGAUAUCACGAGGAACGCCGGUUGAGAAGGCAGCUCACUGGACUGCAACUGACACUGAUGCUCGAAAGUGUGGGUAUCAAACAGGAUUAGAUACCCGGGUAGUC